ACUAAGCGUACACGGUGGAUGCCCUGGCAGUCAGAGGCGAUGAAGGGCGUGCUAAUCUGCGAUAAGCGCCGGUAAGGUGAUAUGAACCGUUAUAACCGGCGAUACCCGAAUGGGGAAACCCAGUGUGAUUCGUCACACUAUCAUUAACUGAAUCCAUAGGUUAAUGAGGCGAACCGGGGGAACUGAAACAUCUAAGUACCCCGAGGAAAAGAAAUCAACCGAGAUUCCCCCAGUAGCGGCGAGCGAACGGGGAGGAGCCCAGAGCCUGAAUCAGCAUGUGUGUUAGUGGAAGCGUCUGGAAAGGCGCGCGAUACAGGGUGACAGCCCCGUACACAAAAGCGCAUGUGCUGUGAGCUCGAUGAGUAGGGCGGGACACGUGGUAUCCUGUCUGAAUAUGGGGGGACCAUCCUCCAAGGCUAAAUACUCCUGACUGACCGAUAGUGAACCAGUACCGUGAGGGAAAGGCGAAAAGAACCCCGGCGAGGGGAGUGAAAAAGAACCUGAAACCGUGUACGUACAAGCAGUGGGAGCCCCACCACCAAAGCGUUUCGCUUUGUGUGGUGCACAAAGAAGCGUAACGACAGCACUGAAUGACGGUUAACGGAGCGCAAGCGACGUUCAACAUACAAAGUCAAGCAGUGGAGCGCUUUGGGGUGGGGUGACUGCGUACCUUUUGUAUAAUGGGUCAGCGACUUAUAUUCUGUAGCAAGGUUAACCGAAUAGGGGAGCCGGAGGGAAACCGAGUCUUAAUUGGGCGUUAAGUUGCAGGGUAUAGACCCGAAACCCGGUGAUCUAGCCAUGGGCAGGUUGAAGGUUGGGUAACACUAACUGGAGGACCGAACCGACUAAUGUUGAAAAAUUAGCGGAUGACCUGUGGCUGGGGGUGAAAGGCCAAUCAAACCGGGAGAUAGCUGGUUCUCCCCGAAAGCUAUUUAGGUAGCGCCUCGUGAAUUCAUCUCCGGGGGUAGAGCACUGUUUCGGCUAGGGGGCCAUCCCGGCUUACCAACCCGAUGCAAACUGCGAAUACCGGAGAAUGUUAUCACGGGAGACACACGGCGGGUGCUAACGUCCGUCGUGAAGAGGGAAACAACCCAGACCGCCAGCUAAGGUCCCAAAGUCAUGGUUAAGUGGGAAACGAUGUGGGAAGGCCCAGACAGCCAGGAUGUUGGCUUAGAAGCAGCCAUCAUUUAAAGAAAGCGUAAUAGCUCACUGGUCGAGUCGGCCUGCGCGGAAGAUGUAACGGGGCUAAACCAUGCACCGAAGCUGCGGCAGCGACGCUUAUGCGUUGUUGGGUAGGGGAGCGUUCUGUAAGCCUGUGAAGGUGGCCUGUGAGGGUUGCUGGAGGUAUCAGAAGUGCGAAUGCUGACAUAAGUAACGAUAAAGCGGGUGAAAAGCCCGCUCGCCGGAAGACCAAGGGUUCCUGUCCAACGUUAAUCGGGGCAGGGUGAGUCGACCCCUAAGGCGAGGCCGAAAGGCGUAGUCGAUGGGAAACGGGUUAAUAUUCCCGUACUUGGUGUUACUGCGAAGGGGGGACGGAGAAGGCUAUGUUGGCCGGGCGACGGUUGUCCCGGUUUAAGCGUGUAGGUGUGUGUUCCAGGUAAAUCCGGUUCACUUUAACACUGAGGCGUGAUGACGAGGCACUACGGUGCUGAAGCAACAAAUGCCCUGCUUCCAGGAAAAGCCUCUAAGCAUCAGGUAACAUCAAAUCGUACCCCAAACCGACACAGGUGGUCAGGUAGAGAAUACCAAGGCGCUUGAGAGAACUCGGGUGAAGGAACUAGGCAAAAUGGUGCCGUAACUUCGGGAGAAGGCACGCUGACACGUAGGUGAAGUGAUUUACUCAUGGAGCUGAAGUCAGUCGAAGAUACCAGCUGGCUGCAACUGUUUAUUAAAAACACAGCACUGUGCAAACACGAAAGUGGACGUAUACGGUGUGACGCCUGCCCGGUGCCGGAAGGUUAAUUGAUGGGGUCAGCGCAAGCGAAGCUCCUGAUCGAAGCCCCGGUAAACGGCGGCCGUAACUAUAACGGUCCUAAGGUAGCGAAAUUCCUUGUCGGGUAAGUUCCGACCUGCACGAAUGGCGUAAUGAUGGCCAGGCUGUCUCCACCCGAGACUCAGUGAAAUUGAACUCGCUGUGAAGAUGCAGUGUACCCGCGGCAAGACGGAAAGACCCCGUGAACCUUUACUAUAGCUUGACACUGAACAUUGAGCCUUGAUGUGUAGGAUAGGUGGGAGGCUUUGAAGCGUGGACGCCAGUCUGCGUGGAGCCGACCUUGAAAUACCACCCUUUAAUGUUUGAUGUUCUAACGUGGACCCGUGAUCCGGGUUGCGGACAGUGUCUGGUGGGUAGUUUGACUGGGGCGGUCUCCUCCUAAAGAGUAACGGAGGAGCACGAAGGUUGGCUAAUCCUGGUCGGACAUCAGGAGGUUAGUGCAAUGGCAUAAGCCAGCUUGACUGCGAGCGUGACGGCGCGAGCAGGUGCGAAAGCAGGUCAUAGUGAUCCGGUGGUUCUGAAUGGAAGGGCCAUCGCUCAACGGAUAAAAGGUACUCCGGGGAUAACAGGCUGAUACCGCCCAAGAGUUCAUAUCGACGGCGGUGUUUGGCACCUCGAUGUCGGCUCAUCACAUCCUGGGGCUGAAGUAGGUCCCAAGGGUAUGGCUGUUCGCCAUUUAAAGUGGUACGCGAGCUGGGUUUAGAACGUCGUGAGACAGUUCGGUCCCUAUCUGCCGUGGGCGCUGGAGAACUGAGGGGGGCUGCUCCUAGUACGAGAGGACCGGAGUGGACGCAUCACUGGUGUUCGGGUUGUCAUGCCAAUGGCACUGCCCGGUAGCUAAAUGCGGAAGAGAUAAGUGCUGAAAGCAUCUAAGCACGAAACUUGCCCCGAGAUGAGUUCUCCCUGAGACUUUAGGUCUCCUGAAGGAACGUUGAAGACGACGACGUUGAUAGGCCGGGUGUGUAAGCGCAGCGAUGCGUUGAGCUAACCGGUACUAAUGAACCGUGAGGCUUAACC
rnacentral:rRNA from 1 species